rnacentral:misc_RNA from 1 species
AAGUCGUAACAAGGUCUCCGUUGGUGAACCAGCGGAGGGAUCAUUACUGAGUUACCUUGCUCAAACCCUGCGAACGUACCAACGAUCCUGCUUCGGCGGGUGGCCCCCGGGGGGGUCACGGCAGCGCCCGCGCCCGCCGGCAGCGACCCUAGCUCUGAAUUUUCAUCUGGGGGUGGCGAGAGCCCCCCGCGUCUGAGUGUAUCAGCUUCUGAAAAAAAAAGUAAAAACUUUCAACAACGGAUCUCUUGGCUCUG